GUGACUUACUCAAUGUUGCAAUAGCGUGACUGAUCUUUUGACCUGUGAUGUCUCGGCUAUUUACAAUGAGGUUACUAUAGUUUGACUGAAUAUACACUUGGUCCCUAACCAUUCGGCUCUUUGCGGUGCAUGUUGACUGCAGUAGGUUCAUUGUAGGAAUGAAGUGUACACUUAUAUGAAAUCUAUCUCGCUUGAUAGAUAGAGGCGUUAGUUCUAUAUGAUUUAUGAGAUCGAGUUUAGAAAAUCUCGGUCAGGGCAGAGUUAAUAGCGGAAAAGGAUUUCCGAUAUUAGAAACUCAAGUCGAAUAAAUUUGACAUAUGACAUAUGAUGGAAUUUGACGAUUUAUUUUAUCUAGAUGAUUGAUAAUUCUCAUUGGGCGUUAGUUCUAUAUGAUUUUUGAAUCGUCGAAAAAACUAAUUAUCAAUAUGUUAAUUGGAUUAAUUUAUAAUUAUUACAAAUUAGUGGUAUUAAAGUGUAAAUAUUACAAAAGAGGACUUACUAAUAGUUAGUAAAUUAUGAGAGAACUUAUGUACAAAUGUUGCAUUAUUAAUUUGAUAUGAUCAAAUUAAGAUAAAGUUCAAGUUGAAUCAAAUUAGAAUUUGAUCGAUCUAACCAAUUAAGAAAAGAAUAAAUUUAAAUCUAUAUUUGUACUUAUCCUUAAUGGUUAUUAUAUUAUUAAAAAGCGAAUUAUAUUCCUCUAUAUAAUAUACGGGAGUUUUUAGAAAACUUUAGCCGUCAUCUCUCUGCUUCCCUUUCUUCUACCUUGUAGCAAGAAGGACGUCAUUUGUAAGGGAGCUAGCAUCUCGAUGAGGAUAUCGAUCAAAGCACCAAUCUCGUGUGGAUACCUAUAGAAGCUGGACGCGCGUGCGGCUUUAAGAGAAUAUAAUUUCACGAUCAUCAAAUUGAGGUGAAAAUCUACCCGCACAAAGGUAAAGAUCGGAUCUUGUUUUUCUCCUUAAUCUUAAAGAAUAUGAAGGAUCCUAAUUGCGUGAUUUUGAGAUCGGAUCUCAAGAGUUUUUCAAAAUCAAAUUUGUUUUAUUUUAUUUUCGCUGUGUUUUUACCGUACAUAAUUUUCUAACACUGAUGGCGGACAACACUUGUUGGUGUUUGAGUGUUCAGUACUGUGCGAAGUGAUUUUAGUAAUAUAAUCCAAAGUCAUAUGCAUAAUGUGACGCAAUAUGACUUGGAUCAAAGAAGAAUUAUUGAAAAAUUGUCUGGCAUUUCGUUUCUUCUAGAUUUGUCAAAAAAGUGUUGGCCAUCAAAGCGCAGAUAAAUUGUUGCUGGACCACUGCUAAAUUUUUACCCUCAUCAAUCCACUCCUUAGUAAUCCAGUCGUGGUUGAAAGAAAAUAAAAUGCCAGUGGAUGGCAUAAUGGCAUCCCAAAUUUUUUUAGCAUUUAUGCAAUUCAAAAAAAAAUGAUUUUGAUCUUCAAGAGUCGAGCAAUAAAUGUAAAAAGGAGAUGGGGCUGAAUUAAAUGAGUAACAGGAUUGACAUAUUUAUUAAAAACAACUCAUUUGAAUUAGUACCGUAUCAAAAGAAAAAUGUUCAAAUGCUUUUAGAUUUACAGAAAUAUAAAAUAAAAUAAAAUAAUUUUUUUUUAGAAUUUUAAGGGCGCGUUUGGUUCACUUCUUUUUCGUUCUAGAAUUAAAAUCGAAAUGAGCGAAUCCGUUUAUGAAUGUUUGGUACGCGGGAGUCCCAUUCCGAUUCCGAUUCCAAUUCCCAAAUGGAAUGAGAAUUCCCCAAUCACCUCUUUUUUAAAUCCGGCCUAGAAGGUCGGAUUGAAAGUUGAAUCCGGAUGAAAUGAAUAUUUAUUCGGAUUAAAUUUAUUUUUUAAAUUUUUUUAAUUAAAAUAUGAGUUUAAAUUUAGAAAUUAAAGUUAUAAUUUUAAAUUUUAGGGAAAACUUCAAAUACCCCCAUUGUGAUUUCACUUUUUCUCACUUUAGCACCCCGUGGUUUAAAGUAUAUCAAGUUAGUACUCUGUGAUUUUGCACUUUUUCACUUUAGUACCAUGUGGUUUAAAGUGUAUCAAGUUAGUACCAUGUGGUUUCGCACUUUAUCACUUUAAUACCUGUGGUUUCGCACUUUAUCACUUUAGUACCUUGUGGUUUAAAAAAUUUUAAACCAUAUGGUAUUAACUUGAUACAAAAAUAAAACCACAGGGUACUAACUUUAUACAAAAAUAAAACCACAGAGUACUUACUUGAUACACUUUAAACCACAGGGUACUAAAGUGAUAAAGUGAGAAACCACCGGGUACUAACUUGAUACACUUUAAACCACAAGAUACUAAAAUGAAAAAGUGCGAAACCACAGGGGGGUAUUUAAAGUUUUUCCUAAAUUUUAAUUUGAACUUGAAUUAAAAAUUUAAAUUUAAUCAAAUAUUAUGAAGAACUUAUGAAUUUGAAUUUAAAUUAAAUUUUAAUUUAUAUAAAAUUUUAUUUAAAACUUUAAAUUAAAUUUAUGAAUUCAAAUUAAAAAUUUAAAUUAUAUUUUAAGUUUAAAUUUGAAUAAAUCAAAUUUUAGUUUUAUAUUUUGAAUUAUCCACUCAAAUUCAAAGUUUAAUUUUUUAAAAAAAAUAGAUUUAAAAUUUUGACAUCAUUUCAAAAUUUUGAUGUAAAUUUUUAAUAUUUAAUUUUUAAUUUGAAUUAGAUUAAUAUAUUAUAAAGAUAAACUUAGUAUAUUAAUUUGAUUACGUUUUUUAUAUCUACCUGAACUAAACACCGACAGUGAAAAAUAAUUUAUUCCGAUUCCGAUUCAGGUGACGAACCAAAUAGAGUUAGAUAAUGAGUAAUUCCUAUUCUAAUUUCAACUUAUUUCGAUUCCGAUUCUGAUUCCGAUUCCGACUUCAAAUCAAACAUGCCCUUAGAGUAAAAUAAAAUUGAGCUCCAAAUUAUAAAAUUUUUCAGUAAUGUAGUAAUAAAGAAUAUUUAACACUCAUAUCACUCUAUAUAAAUUUGCGCUAAAAUAAAGUCAAUCUUAAAAUUAGAAAAUUUUUAGCCAUUUAUUUUAAGAUAUUUUGACCAUUCGAUAAAAUAAUAUAAAAAAUUUAUGAAAUUUGUUUUUCAGAUUCUUUAGUAAUGUAAAUCAUGUCUAAUGAAAUCAAUGGUCAAUUUAGAUGUCCUAUUAUUAAAAUUUCUAAAAAUAUGGAGGUCUUUUUGCUUUUAAAGUAUUCUCGCUAUAUAGCGAUGCAAACGGGGCUCAUCCGAACUUGUUGGGUCUCCCACGUUCUGCUCUAUUUCUUGUCGAUUCGAGAUUUAUUAAUUUUAAUUUUAUUUUGGCCUUUCCUUAAAGCUUCAUUCUGGACGGAUUGGGAUGAAAACAAAUCUUUUAUGACUUUUUAGCGUAUCGAGACAAAUCAAAGAUAAAUUUUUGACGAAUUGAGAUGAACUCGAGACGAAUUAUAUUGCAUAUAUUUUUUAAUUUUCACUUAUCAUCCCGACGGAGCUGCGCCAAUCCGAAUCCAUUUGCAUUGCUACAUGGGCGUUCUUGAGGAUAAUUUUAUUCGUGUGGCAUUUCUCGUAAUUUUCCUUUAUUCGGGGGGCGGAGACAAACAAGGCCCUACAAUUCCGUACAAAAGGAGCCGUUACGAGCAGACGCCGUUAGUGGGGCCCACUCAAGCACGACCGUACGUCAUCGUCCUCAAAAUAUGACUCGGGUCUUAUCCGACGCCACCCCAUCCACCUCGCGAAAAAUCUUGCGUGCACCUGGUGCAUCCGUGCGACUAAAUACACCAUUUUUUAUUCUCCCUGAUUAAUAUCACAAAACCAAAAAAAAAUGUUAAUAAAUUUUCAAAAAUAUAUCAUAUCACCUAACCAAUAUACGAUCUAAAUUCCAUUUGAAGGAUGUCUCAAAUUGAAUAAAACUAUAUAAAAUUUAUCUAAAUUAUUAUCUAUUUUCAUUUGAAAAGUUUUAAUUUUUGCUACCUAAUAUUUUAAUUUAUUUAAUUUAAGCAGUUUAAUAUUUUUUAUUUAAAACUUAUACAUAUUAUUUAUUCUUACGGACUUAAUUAUUAUAUUUUAUAUUAUAUAUAAUUUAUGCGAUAAUACAUUUAUAAAUUCGGUGGCUAAAUAUUUAUUAAAUAACUUAAAUCAGACAAAUUUUAAAAAAAUCGAAUACUUAUUAAAGUAUAAUUUGUGAAAUUAAAUAGUAGAAUUAAAAUAGGUUGUAUUUUAGGUAGUAGGUACUAAUUUUCGUACUAGGAUGUAUCCAAAUAAUAAAUGAGAUCCUGUAUUUAUUUAGAAGCGGUGUAUGAGAUGUACUUAUACACCCGGUGUAGGAAUAAUCUCCACCUCUGUGUAUCAGUCCUCGCCUCAAACAAAAAUAUCUUAGGGCGACUCCUAGCUUCAGAUUUCCCGCCACCGACGAACAAUCUGAGCCGUCGAUCGGUGAUCCGGAGAUCUCGGCCGUUGGAUAGCGCGGGAAGGCAUUGUAGCCGUUGGAUGCGUAGGGCUAGUAUUCAUAAUGGGACACUAUGAUUGGGUCAACGUUCGUCCAAAGCUAGAGUUAAUUUGGAAGGGAACAAAAAGAAAGGCCAUGAGCUACACUUUUCCCACGUAAUUUUAUUAAAUUAUUUUUUUAAUAUAUAUAUAUAUAUAUAUAGAGAGAGAGAGAGAGAGUUGGACUGGACUACUAUUAGUAGUAAAAUCUCAUUAUUGCUACCAGUUUUUUAGCCUUUGGAUCAACUCUUUUCAUUAUUUCUAACUAUUGGAUUAAAUACUAUAACCCAAUGGAGAACACUCAACCCUAGGGGGACCACUCAACUCUAACCGACUAAUAUCAUUCUGGCCCUAUAAUUUUUUAUUCAAGGAUUAAAAACUUGAUAGCCAAAAAAGCGUUUUACUAUUAAUAGUAUUCAAGCCUAAUUCUAUAUAUAUAUUAUAUAUAUUAUAUAUAUUUAGUAUUAUUAUAUCAUGUGUUUCCUCACUUGGGCUUUUUUUUUUAUUAUUGUAUUUUUAUACCAAUGUAUAUGAAGUAUAAUGUGAGUUAAGUAUGUUGAUUUUCCAGAAGUGCUAUAAUAAUUAUUCUGGCUAGCAACUAUUAUUUGAUAUUUUGUCUAUUUCUGUUUAUUAGUUUAGCUUCUUAAGUCCAACAAUAUUAUUAUUAUUAUUUUUAUAGUCAGUAUUAUUAGUAUAUUUAUUAUUAUAGUAUAUUAUAUAUAUUAUAGAUAUAUAUCCCUAUAUUAGUAUUUAUAGGUAAAAAAAAUGCAUAGAGACCCCACAACUAUAGGUUCUAUGACUAAACAAAGCUAACCAUAGUAUUUCUGAAUUCAAAUGGAAUCUAAAAUUUCAUUUAUUUCUUUAUCUUUUGUAAGUAGUUGUCAUUAAUUAUUCUUUUUAUAAAUUAUGUAUGUUUCUUAUCUUAUAUCAAAGUUUACAACUUGUCCCAAGCAAAUUCCUAACUCAACUUAGUCUCACGGCCGAAGUAUAGAUCUUUUGUUUGAAUCUUGUUCAAAGUAGAAAAUGUGUAUGUGUGCAUGGCCUAAAAACAUCUUUAAUUUAUGUUAAAAGAUGCAAAGUAAUUAUUGUUCUCCAAAAAUUUAGGGUAUUAGAGAACGAUAUUUUUAAUAUUUAUAUUCAAUAUUCUUUUCUCAUAUUUAGAUUAGAAAUUUUAAAAAGAUUAUAAUAUAGAACUGAGGCAUAUUUGGUUCAUGAUUGGAAUGAAAAUGCGAAAUAAUAUCGGAUUGCAUUUGCAAGAGAAAUGAAAAAACGAAUUAUCCAAAAAUAUUUAAUUUAUUAAUGGAGUGAAAAUCGGAUAACACAAUUGUGACACCUACAAGAUUUUGGUAGAGGGUUUUAGUUAGGAGAAUGAUAAAGGAAGAGAGAAAAGAGAUGUUUAUAAUAGUGUUUUGAAUGAUUUAUUGUGAAAUGGGCUGUUUUAGAAUUCCAAGCAGAUUGAAAAAUAAAUAUAUUAGAUCAUUUUCAUUCCAUUAUGAAAAGGGGAUCGAAACUGAUAUCUUAUAAAAUAAACAUAAACUAUCAUAAAACAGUAAAUUUUAUCGUGAUUCAACAGUAUACAUAGAUGAACCAAACAAAUCCUAAAUUAAAAGGGUGAAAGGGCCAUCAUUCUUCGAAGCUUAAACUACUAAAAAUAAUAUUUGUAAUAUUUAUAUUCAACAAUCUGUAAUGAUCCUUAGCCACUAACAAUAGUAAAUCGUUGGACCUGAACCAUUGGCUUAAAAUGCUUAAGUUUAGUUACUAUUAUUAGGAUAUAUAGUCUAUUAUAUUUCAAUUAGGACUUCUUUUCUAUCCAAUGUAGAAUUAUUGGAGUAUUAUAGAUUCCCUUCGCUUAAACUCUGGCGUCCUCGUCGGGUCCAAAUUAGACUACAAACAUAUAGACCAAAAUUACCUGACGAUGUGAGAUUAAUUAAUUUUAGAGAUGGCUUCUGCUGGUUCAAGAGGUGCUUCCAACCAAAUCCGUGAUAUAGCACUUUAAUCUAUAUAACACUUAACUCUCAUACUUUCGACUAACAAUUAGCUCUGAUGCCAAUUUUAAUAACUAGACUUAAAUAUUUUGGAUCGAUUGUUCGAACUCAAUGAGAUAUUAUUAUUAAUGGACCGAAUCGUUGCACAAUCACACACAGAAAUGAACACACCAUGAUGGGUCCACACGUUUUGCUACUCUAAAAAAAAGUAGAUCUAGUGUGUACAGGGAAAGGAGAACAAGAUUUGUGAUCUAGUAUUGUUUGGUUGUGAAUGUGUGAUGAGUCCUCAGUUGUAUGCAAAUGGAAAAAGGGGUCUUAAUAUAUGUAGCUUUAUGUGAGGAAUUAAAUGUUUGAGACAUUCCAUUCCAAUACGUGGAGGCACAUUUAAAGCUUGAGGCAUGGAGUUGAUGAGUGUUCAUUAAUUGCACACCACUCCCUUGCAUAGUUGCAUGGCAAUGUUGGGACAGUUCAAGCACAUUAAAUUCCAUACCUGCUCAUUUAACUGAUAGCAUUUAAUAUAUAUAUAUAUAUAUAUAGAGAGAGAGAGAGUUGAGUUGGAAUACUAUCAAUAACAAACGGACUUCGUUGCCAUCCAUUUGUUUUCGAUGAUGGAGCUUUCAAAUCGACGAUCGGCACCGUUGAACAUGAUCUAUACCACUUGAAGUAUCGAGGAAUCAAAUUUCAUACUUUUCCGAUACUAUUUUUUUGUCCAUCAAGUGGGCGUAAAAAUGAAUGGCUGAAAAUGAAUAUCCUCUAAAAAGUGAUGAUAUAAAUUUUGUAAUCAUGAUCGAGAGUAUAGAUCUUGUUCUAAAUAGUUUAAAGAAUUUUCUAACCAAAAUUCAAUUGAUUUGGAUAGAUUUACACCGUUAAACGAGAAAACCCCUCAUAUCAACCAUUAAAAUUAAUAAUUUUGAAACCCUUUGAUCAUUAGGUAAAUGAUAUCGAAAAGAUUUGAAAUUUGAUUUGUAGAUACUUCAAGUGAUAUAGAUCAUGUUCAACAGUGCCAAUCGUCGAUUUGAAAGCUUCAUCAUCGAAAAUAAAUGGGUGGCAACGGAGCCCGUUUGCUACCGAUAGCAUUCCAGCUCAACUCUCUCUCUCUCUCUCUCUCUAUAUAUAUAUAUAUAUAUUUGGAGAAGCACCACAAUAGAAUUAUAUUGAUUGGAUGUUCAAAUGUACAAAAUAAAAAGUAAGGAAGAGUGAAGCAAACUGUUGAUAAAAAAUAAAUAGCAGAGAUUGGAGAGAUGCACAUAUGUAGAUGUACAGCUCCAUUAACUCUGAUUGGGAUGUGAUGUUCCAACUUAUCAAAAGUCAUCUAUUAUAGAACUACUUCUGUUCUAGUACGGUUAACCCUCUAAAUCUCUUGACUCUAGUCACUAUCCAAAGUGCUUAAGCCGGAUUAAGAAUAUUAGUCCCAUUAUAUCAUAUAUAUAAUACUAUCUGCGGUCUUAUAUUCUCCUUCUUUUUAAGUCCUAACGUUUUCGUCAGGCUCAGGCUUACAAGUAUCAAGCGAGGUGAGACUUGCCUCGUUAGCCUAAACCGAUCUUGUGGGGGAGCCGCGCUCUACCCACAACAGUCAACAAUAUAAGAGCCUCGCUUUCCUUGCUGUAUAAUUCUGGCUCAAUCGAGACUCAUUUCACACUUUCGGUUGGUAAUUUGCUCUGAUACCAACUAUUGUUAGAUUUUAGUUAAUUUUGUUAGAUAGGUUUUGCUGACGUUUCGUAUGUAUAAGAAUUAUUCUUGUACAUGCGACGGAUCUAUUGACGUAAUCCGAAUUUUCGCUGUAUGCUGGGGCGUGACAUGGGAUCCUGAAUUUAGAGAUGUCAAUGCGUAUGGUUACCCGAAAUUUUAUCCAAACAUGAAUCCGAAUGAAACGGAUAUAUUCGAUGGAUAUGAAUUUGGAUAUGGAUUUUGAUUGUACCCGACCCGAACCCGAAUUUAUUUUGUAAUAUAUAUANUAUAUAUAUAUAUAUAUAUAUAUAUAUAUAUAUAUAUAUAUAUAUAUAUAUAUAUAUAUAUAGUAGAGCUAGAAUACUUUUAGAAGUACCAAACAUUGAUGCAAAGUUAUUGAUCUUGUUUUAUAUGAUAUAAAAAAUUUUCUAUCAAAAUUUCAUGUGAUUUGGAUAUUUCUACACCGUUAAACUUGCAAUCGUCUCACCACGGCCGUUAAAAUUAUUGAUUUUGAGCUCCUUCGAUCACUAGGCAAAUACUCUAAAUCAACUCUAACGGAGCCGAUCGUCGAUUCGAAAGUCCGAACAUCGAAAACAAAGUGGAAGCACGGAGGCCUCCGUGCUUCCAUAAGCAUAUCAGCACAACUCUAUAUAUAUAUAUAUAUAGGUCAUGGCUACUAUACUAUAUAUAAAUUUGAUGUUAUAUUUAAAUUUGUAUUUUAAAAAUUUAAAUUUAAUAUAAUAUAUUUUGAAAUAUUGAAAAAAGAAAUAAUUAUUUGGGAUUCAAAUUUUCGGGUUCGGGUACGGGUUUCGGAUUUUUGGUCAGGUUCGGGUUCGGAUUCGGAUUCGGGUCUCAGGUUCGGAGUCGGGUUCGGGUUCGGGUUUUUAAAAAUCCAUCCCGAAUCCGAUCCGUUGACAUCUCUAGUCCUGAUAAAAGCAUAAUCAAUUGAUUCAAAUGUAGAGUAAGGAAAUUAGUGAUCCAGAAGUAUAUCGAUUAAUGGAUAGGGGAACUAUAUUAUUAUCACGAAUAAUUUCAGAGCACCAGAAAAACCAUGAUUCGUGCAGAGAGACUAGCAAAGCGUCACGGAGCCGGACGAAAUUUGUAUGGAUACCGUGGGAUGGGCGCCGCGUGGCGACUGCCCGCCCAUCUCACCCUCCAUUUCUCUUGGUGAUAACAUUUAAUUCACUGUGAUGGAUUUCUUUCAAAACUGGCUCGCAGUUAUGGAAUUGCGUUUUUAUCUUUUAGGCAAAUAAUUGAUAUUUAUUGAAUAAUGAAGGUAAAAACAUACGAAACUUAUUUGUACUAUAUGCCAUUUGAUUUGAUUAUCUAAUCUUUUAGGUAUCGUUUGGUUCGAAGAUAAGUAAAAAGUGGCAAUUCCAAGAAUGGGUAUAAAUUGAGGUAUAAGCGGGGAUUAAAUCAAUUUUACGUUUGGGUGAAAAUUGGGUUAUUCUUGGGAAUAAAAAAAAUAGCGUUUGAUUAAGUAAGAUGGAAUAAUAAUUAAAGUGGAUAAUUAUAAAUAAAAAAUAAUGAUAUUACGCUUUUCAUUAUAUUUGAAUUUGAAAUUUAAAAUUAUAUAUAUAUAUAUAUA
rnacentral:lncRNA from 1 species